rnacentral:tRNA from 1 species
GCCCAGAUAGCUCAGUUGGUAGAGCAGAGGACUGAAAAUCCUCGUGUCGCUGGUUCAAAUCCGGCUCUGGGCACCA